GUUGAAGGCAGCUGUCAUAGAAAUAACUAACUGAAAGGAGCUUUGGAGCCUGGGUCGUUCUAGUGAAAACCUUGCCUUCACUGAAGAUCUUUCUUUUGAUUUCUGCAGGGUCUCUGGAGCCAUUAUUUGUUCACCGCCCAAAGAAGCCUCCGAGAUUGUAAUCGACGCUUUACGGGCAGGUAAGAGGAGCAGCUGCAAGUUCAGGUUUUGUCUGUAGUCGGUAGCACAGGUCGAGGCAGACCUCGUCUGCUUGCUGAGGGCUCUCAGCGUGAACCCUGUCUCGUUUCAGCAGUGUCCCCUGCGUUGUGCAGGCUAUCUCUAUCUGGAUAAUGGAAGAGAAAUUACUCUGCUGAUGACACUGAUGUUAGUGGCUUAACGCCAGCGAGUUUGUACUGGGCUGGUCCCAGUACGGCCGUGCGGAGUGCCCAGUCCUGGAAGCAGCACUGGCACUGAAAGGAGAACUGUCUGCCCAAGCAGUCGCGCUCCUUGGGGUCCGUAACCAGCUCGUCAAACCACAGCAAAACCCCGUAAAACCACAGCGGGGGGGCAGAAGGGGAUUGGUAGCAUCAAGAAGUAAAAAGCCAGGCUUCAGUUCCAUCAGAGAUAAUAAUUUACUGCAAGAUAAAAACGCUCCAUGCAGACGGGCCUUGCCCUCAGUCCCGUGUUCUGUACCGUUUCGCACAGGAAAAGGGGUGUUUUGCGAGAGGCUGCCCAGUUUUGACAGGCAGAGAGCGGAAGCUUGUUUUGACGAAGCUGACAGAUGUGGAAGACCCUUGGUGUGCGGAUUCUACAAGCGCUUCGACCCGGCGCUGCAGUUCCUGUGCAGGAAUGUCCGGGACAGCCAAGCGCUGGGGAGGAUCCAGCGGAUCUCCGCCGUCAGCAGCCUGUACCCGGCGGCGUCCCUCAGCCUCCUCAGGACCUCAGGGGGAAUUUUUUAUAAUGCUGCUGUGCACGAUAUAGAUUUUAUCAGUUUGUUGUUGGGAGAGAGUGCACCAGACACAAUAUUUUCACUGGGGCAUGCAUUCUGUGCAGAUAUGGCCUGCUUGAAGGAUGCAGACACUGUAGCCGUCAGCAUGAAAUUUCCUAGCGGAGCGAUUGUGACUCUGGACGUCAGCCAGCACUGCACUCAGCGCUGUGACCAGCGACUGGAGGUUCACGGCUCUCAAGGCACGUUACGGGUCGAUAACCAGAAUCCCCUGGGGAUUACGGAGCACGGGACCUCGGUGUCCAUCUGCUCGCAGACCCAUGCCGACCGCUACAGGGAUGCCCACAGGGAGCUUUUCCGACACUUCCUGAGAACCCUGACAGGCAAGGAGCUCCCCGCCGUAACCAAAGAGCAGUUCCAGUGGACGAUGCAGGUGGCUGCGGCAGCCGAGCAGUCCUGGAGGAGCGGCUCCGCCGUGGACCUGCGCCGCGAAGGCUUCGCUCUGCCCAAGAUCAAGACCGAGGAGGUGUGAUGCCGGCGGGGGCGAGGGUAACGUGAAGCUCUGCUGCGCCGAGCUCUCGCCGCCUGCCGACGUCUCCGCUCUCACCUUAAAACGAGACUCGUGGCUUUGACGUGUCCGCCAGGAGCGCCCGGAGCCUGCGGGGGGCUCUGAGCGCCUCAACCGGAGCCCUCAGGUGAUGCCGGGUGCUUUCACCCGCGGCUCUUCCCCCCGGGAGCUGCUUUCUGGGGAGACGGGGCCCGACGCUCCUCAGGCCGCGCUGAGGCCGGGACAGGGACAGGCCGGGGCGGGCGGACGCGCUGCUGCGAACAACUCCAGGGGGGUCCCUCUGCUCCGCACUCGCCUCCUGUCAGCGCAUGCGGGGACGUGACUCCUGUGCUGAACUUGCCUCUGGGCCUCCUAUUUAUUGUUUCAUUUGUUGUUUUUGCUGGGUUUUCUAAAUCUUUUUGAGAAGAGGUUAUGAUCUAAUAAUUUUGGGGAGUGGGGAAAAGAAAAAGCAGGGAGGGAGACCUCCGGACGUUGGAAACUUCGUAGGAAGAGCCCAAGUUGAGGCUGUUCCGUAGAGGAGCGGCAGCGCGCUUCAGGCACUCAGCGCUGCCUUAUCAAAGAGUUUUUUUUUCUGGGUGCAACCUGUGAAUUCACGCGGGGGCCCUGGGCGGGCAAUGGGGCUGCGCCUCGGCUGGGCCGCCCGAGGCUGGAGGCUGUUGUUUUCCUCGUGUUAAACACGAACGCUGUAUGUUAACGUUUUAGUAGCAAAACCGAACUAAUAAUCGAAGUUCUCCGCGUGUCAGAAGGGCGUCUGCUGGCGGAUUUCAAAGGUCUUUGUUUUUACAGUCCAGCAGAUUUGGAGCAUCCACCACAGAAGAAGAUAGUGCCUUCAACAAGAGGCAGGUCUGCUUUUAAACCAGGUUCCUCGUUCCUUUUGUCUUGAGCUCGUUGCGGGUGUCUGGAUUUGACUGUUCUUGCACACACCAGUUUUUCAGGAUCUUCUGAAAGGUGUUUUUUGUUUGUU
rnacentral:lncRNA from 1 species